rnacentral:rRNA from 1 species
UGGGGGAUAUUGCACAAUGGGGGGAACCCUGAUGCAGCGACGCCGCGUGGGUGAAGAAGCGCCUCGGCGCGUAAAGCCCUGUCAGCAGGGAAGAAAAUGACGGUACCUGAAGAAGAAGCCCCGGCUAACUACGUGCCAGCAGCCGCGGUAAUACGUAGGGGGCAAGCGUUAUCCGGAUUUACUGGGUGUAAAGGGGGCGCAGACGGCGAUGCAAGCCAGGAGUGAAAGCCCGGGGCCCAACCCCGGGACUGCUCUUGGAACUGCGUGGCUGGAGUGCAGGAGGGGCAGGCGGAAUUCCUGGUGUAGCGGUGAAAUGCGUAGAUAUCAGGAGGAACACCGGUGGCGAAGGCGGCCUGCUGGACUGCAACUGACGUUGAGGCCCGAAAGCGUGGGGAGCAAA